GCCCGGGUGGUGGAAUGGCAUACACGGCGGUCUCAAACACCGCUGCCCGAAAGGGCUUGCGGGUUCGAAUCCCGCCCCGGGCA
rnacentral:tRNA from 1 species